rnacentral:rRNA from 1 species
CGUCAGCUCGUGUCGUGAGAUGUUGGGUUAAGUCCCGCAACGAGCGCAACCCUUGUUCUAUGUUGCCAGCACGUGAUGGUGGGGACUCAUAGGAGACUGCCGGGGUCAACUCGGAGGAAGGUGGGGACGACGUCAAAUCAUCAUGCCCCUUAUGUCUUGGGCUUCAAGCAUGCUACAAUGGCCGGUACAAUGGGUUGCGAAACUGUGAGGUGGAGCGAAUCCCAAAAAGCCGGCCUCAGUUCGGAUUGGGGUCUGCAACUCGACCCCAUGAAGUCGGAGUCGCUAGUAAUCGCAGAUCAGCAACGCUGCGGUGAAUACGUUCCCGGGCCUUGUACACACCGCCCGUCAAGUCACGAAAGUCGGUAACACCCGAAGCCAGUGGCCCAUCCUCGUGAGGGAGCUGUCGAAGGUGGGAUCGGUGAUUGGGACUAAGUCGUAACAAGGUAGCCGUACCGGAAGGUGCGGCUGGAUCACCUCCUUU